rnacentral:rRNA from 1 species
CCUACGGGCGGCAGCAGUGAGGAAUAUUGGUCAAUGGCCGGAAGGCUGAACCAGCCAAGUCGCGUGAGGGAAUAAGGCCCUAGGGGUCGUAAACCUCUUGUGUCAGGGAGCAAAGGCGUCCACGUGUGGACGAGAGGAGAGUAUCUGAAGAAAAAGCAUCGGCUAACUCCGUGCCAGCAGCCGCGGUAAUACGGAGGAUGCGAGCGUUAUCCGGAUUUAUUGGGUUUAAAGGGUGCGUAGGCGGUUCGAUAAGUUAGAGGUGAAAGCCCGGGGCUCAACUCCGGCAGUGCCUCUGAUACUGUCGGGCUAGAGUUUAGUUGCGGUAGGAGGAAUGUAUGGUGUAGCGGUGAAAUGCAUAGAGAUCAUACAGAACACCGAUUGCGAAGGCAGCUUACGAAACUACGACUGACGUUGAGGCACGAAAGCGUGGGGAGCAAACAGGAUUAGAUACCCCAGUAGUC